rnacentral:tRNA from 1 species
GUGGUAGUUCAGUAGUAGAAUUCUUGCUUUCUGUGUGAGACGCCCAAGUUCAAUUCUUGGCCAACACA